rnacentral:tRNA from 1 species
GUCCCCGUCGUCCAGCGGCCCAGGACGACGCCACACUCAUGGCGUAAACACGCGGUUCGAAUCCCGUCGGGGACGCCA